rnacentral:rRNA from 1 species
UGGGGAAUCUUGCGCAAUGGGCGAAAGCCUGACGCAGCGACGCCGCGUGCGGGAUGAAGGCCUUCGGGUUGUAAACCGCUUUCAGCAGGGACGAAAUUGACGGUACCUGCAGAAGAAGCCCCGGCCAACUACGUGCCAGCAGCCGCGGUAAUACGUAGGGGGCGAGCGUUGUCCGGAAUUAUUGGGCGUAAAGAGCUCGUAGGCGGUUCGGCAAGUCACGUGUGAAAUCUCCACGCUCAACGUGGAGGCGCCACGUGAGACUGCCGUGACUCGAGUCCGGUAGGGGAGCGUGGAAUUCCCGGUGUAGCGGUGAAAUGCGCAGAGAUCGGGAGGAACACCCGUAGCGAAGGCGGCGCUCUGGGCCGGUACUGACGCUGAGGAGCGAAAGCGUGGGGAGCAAACAGG